rnacentral:rRNA from 1 species
CUGUGUCCCGCACCGCCGGUUCACCGCCUGUCGGUGUCAAACUGGCGUGUAUGCGGGACGUCCUGUCGGUGGUGGUCUGGGGCUACGUUGGCCCUAACGGUUGUCCAUGCGACAUCCCGAAGGCUGGCGUAUGUUUCCGGCCGCCUUUCAAUCCCGCCGCGGUGCUCUUUACCGAGUGUCGAGGCGGGCCGGCACGUUUACUUUGAACAAAUUAGAGUGCUUCAAGCAGGCUCUUUUCUGCCUGCAUACUGUGUGCAUGGAAUAAUGGAAUAGGACCUCGGUUCUAUUUUGUUGGUUUUCGGAAUCUGAGGUAAUGAUCAAUGGGGACAGGCGGGGGCAUUCGUAUUGCGACGUUAGAGGUGAAAUUCUUGGAUCGUCGCAAGACGGACCGAAGCGAAAGCAUUGCCAAGUAUGUUCUCGUCGAUCAAGAACGAAAGUUAGAGGUUCGAAGGCGAUCAGAUACCGCCCUAGUUCUAACCAUAAACUAUGCCUGCCAGCGAUCCGCCGGCGUUCCUCCGAUGACCCGGCGGGCAGCUUCCGGGAAACCAGAGCCUUUGGGUUCCGGGGGAAGUAUGGUUGCAAAGCUGAAACUUAAAGGAAUUGACGGAAGGGCACCACCAGGAGUGGAGCCUGCGGCUUAAUUUGACUCAACACGGGAAAACUCACCAGGCCCGGACACCGGAAGGAUUGACAGAUUGAGAGCUCUUUCUUGAUUCGGUGGGUGGUGGUGCAUGGCCGUUCUUAGUUGGUGGAGCGAUUUGUCUGGUUAAUUCCGAUAACGAACGAGACUCUAGCCUACUAACUAGACGUAUCUGGUAUCCACAUCGUGCUACCGGCGAUAAAAUUUCUUCUUAGAGGGACAGGCGGCUGUAGCCGCACGAGACUGAGCAAUAACAGGUCUGUGAUGCCCUUAGAUGUCCUGGGCCGCACGCGCGCUACACUGAAGGAGUCAGCGUGUCUUCCCUGUCCGAAAGGACCGGGUAACCCGCUGAACCUCCUUCGUGCUAGGGAUUGGGCUUGCAAUUGUUCCCCAUGAACGAGGAAUUCCCAGUAAGCGCGAGUCAUAAGCUCGCGUUGAUUACGUCCCUGCCCUUUGUACACACCGCCCGUCGCUACUACCGAUUGAAUGAUUUAGUGAGGUCUUCGGACUGGUGCGCGGAGGCGGCAUCUGUUGCUUCCGAUGUUGUCGGAAAGAUGACCAAACUUGAUCAUU